GCAAACUUGGUCAUUUAGAGGAAGUAAAAGUCGUAACAAGGUUUCCGUAGGUGAACCUGCGGAAGGAUCAUUAUAGAGUGAUGAAUAGAUCUCGCUAUAGGCACUUUAGCCCUGAAUUUUUAAUUAAAUUCGGAUCCCUUUAUGUUGACCUGAAGAUCAUAAAUUCAACCUCCAAUCCUAUGAUAAAAUUACUUUUAGUUGCUUUGAUAAAUCAGUGAUUUAAUUUGAAAUAUAAUUAAAUCCGGUUGGUUUUUGGUAAAACAAAAACUGAUUAGUAUUUAUCAAUAGCCUUAACAAAAAAUUCUUGUAUAACUAUGUCCAGUCUGAAUUAUUAAUUAAAAUUAAUUAAAACUUUCAACAACGGAUCUCUUGGUUCUGGCAUCGAUGAAGAACGCAGC
rnacentral:misc_RNA from 1 species